rnacentral:rRNA from 1 species
CUCGUUGGCUGGGUUGGCUGUUUACCGGGUCCACCAGGUUUUGCCCAAUGAGCUCGGGGCGCUCCGCACCCAAUCGCCUGCUUCUCGUCCCACGCCCACCCCACCCGCCAACCGAACCCUAGCGCCCUUUCUCCUUCCCCUCCAUCCCCACGAGCCGCCACACCCCUCCAUCUCUCCCUCAUCCUCUCCUCACCUGCAGCCGCUGUGCUUGUCUCUCCACUCGCCUCCUCCUCUCCUCUACCACGUCGUCGUCGAUCCACCGCCGGCCUUCUCCUCUGCUUACCUCCUCCUGUCCUCUUCCAUGUCGCCGUCGGUCCAGAUCGGACGUAUCGUCGUGGGGGAGCAGCGCCGGCAGGGUCUUCGCGGUGCGGGUGGGGGGUAGGAUGCGACGACAAGGGGAAGGAUGAGGCCGGUGAGGAAGGCAAGCAACAGCGGGUGGGGGUAAGGGGCAGGGUGAGGCCUCGCGCACCUGCCGGCGGCCGGCGGGUCGACUUGUCGCGCCACCGCGUCGUCGCCUCCUCUGCACCAUGCGGUGCCACCUCUGCCUCCACCCCCACCGGGCAAGGAGCUCGAGGUGAACAGGCGGUGUGGGAAGGCGAGAGGAAGCAGGAGCUCAUCUCUCCUCCAAUGGAUGUCUCGUGCAUCACGUGCCUGUUGGAGGUGGCUCGAGCGAUGCAGGCUAGCGGCGAACUAGAUCUGACAUAGAAGACCACGUUCCUCAGCGAUCCCAGAAUAUAUUAGACAAUAUGGUAGUCCAAUGCUGUUUUGAAGUAUAUAUUGGCACCAUGCUGACAGGAAGUGAAGACGGCCAGUCAUCGCGCCAUAUUCCCGUUUGAUAUCAAACUCUCAAAAAGGAAAAACAACUUUACUCUGUUUUUUGGAGAACCUUCCUGUAGAGUACCUUGACAGAGACAAAUAUGCGAUCAAGGAUAUAUUCGAUGGAUUUUCACGCAAAACUUGGAGGAUAUUUUUUGCAGGUUCAUUGCUUGCUUUAUUGUUUUCUUACUUUCCGUUCUUCAAGACAAUAUCUUCCUAGCAUUGCUCUAUAAAUUUAAAUCCAUCUUUUUGUUCUUUGGAUUAUCAUGGCGUACUCGUCCUGUCUAAUCCAAGAAAGGGCCUUCAUGUUUGCAGAUAGUUUGGUGCUCUCAUGGUUAUUUUAUAGUGAUUUUCCUUGUAUUUGUUACUUGGUAACCAUCUACUGCAGCUUAGCUAUUGUCCAGUUGCUGACCUUAUGGUGAGUGAUUGAUGGUGCAUGUUUUCCUAUUAGUUUCUUUCUAUGCCAAUGUCUGAAUUUUAUCUUGCCGUUUUGCAUUUCUCCAGGCCUUUCAUUCUCACUGUGAUUCCCCGAGAUGCACUAUUAGUAGGCAUCCACUUUCUAAUAAAAAAUUGGCAGUCAACUUGAACGAGUCAUUUAUCUAGCUACAGCAACCUUCCUUGCUUUUGCAGUCAACUUGAACGAGUCUAUACCUGCCAAAUAUUUACACGUUAGUAUAGCCAGAAAGUCAGAUGAUCGUUCCAUGUUGGUUAGCCGUGAUAAAUCAAAUUUCUAGAGUAGCAGAUGAUUCGUGUCAGGUUUCCUUUAGAGAUUGAAAUAUGUCUUGACUCCAAAAUAAGUAGUACAGCGUCCAGUUCUGCAUAGGUGAAAGCAUACUAUCUAAAACUGGACGGCCUUCUAAAGCUCUGAAACUACUAUUUGUUGUGUAAUCUGUAUCCCCUUUUCAUACUCUAUAUAUGCUUUCUACUUACUAGGAAAAAAUGCGUGAGAACGAUGUCUUGAGGAUGCGAAUUGCACUCAAAUAUAUGCAGGUUUCUUGCCAAACUAACUGCCACUAUUUUAUUUCAGGUGCUUCUUCUGUAACUUAGUGUAUUUUGCUGGCUCUUCUCAUUUCCUGGUGAACUUUUUAGUCUGUACAGUCGAAUCGUUGGAAGUUGUUUUCUACUAUCUAUAGAGGUUUUAUCCAAACUAUUAGCUGCCUGACUUGCUUUUUUGAAGUACACCGUCCUGAUAGACCAAGUGGACCCACACAUUUCCAUGGGAUUUUAGAAAAAUAUAUGUGAAUUUGCAUACAUUUUCUAAAUUUCUAUCUUUUCUUAUCCAUGCUUCUAUAUAUAGCAGGCUCAACAAAAAUGAAUGUCUGAUUGUGUUCAAAUUUCAAGGAAGUGUGCUUCACGUUUCUCUUUCUGCAAUAUUUUUCAGAGUAUAUGAUUUAAUUUUCCUACUUUCCCAGUUACAAUACUGUCUACUUCAUUCUUAGCUUUGCUUUGGGAAAAAUAGGUAUGCAGGUUAUCGAAAGCUCCAUUUUUCUCCAUUAUAUAGAUCAUAUAGCUUUGUGAUCGAAGGUAGGUUGUCACAUAUGGGAUGUUGCCUGUGAAAGUUAUAUACAGCCAUGAGUCCCUGACAAAAUAAUCGCAGCUCAUGUUACUAGGAUCAGGGAACCUCGACCAUUUUUCUGAAACAUGUCGUAGCUCAUGUUCCUACUUUCCCAGCUACACUAUUAUGUACUUCAUUCUUACCUUCGCUUUUGGAAGUUACAUUGCUUUCUUUUCCCUCAUAAACUUGCUAGCGAUAUUGGCGAAGUAAUCCCCACUUCAGAUUUCCCAUUGAAUAAAUAACUAAUUUAGUUUGUUGUAAAAUUGUAGGUCAAGAUCCAUGAAUAGGAGCAAGGCAUCACACCAGCUCUGAGAAGAAAAGGAUAUGAAGACAAAGAUAGACCAGUGUUCUGCUCCGAAGCAAAAACAUUUUACGUGUAAUAAUGAACUGUAAUUUACCACAGUCUCUCUAAAACAGGCCUACCUAUUACCUGUCCGUUGCUUGCUUUUGUAUUAGGAAGUAUGACCCAGUCAUAUAUAUUUACAUUCACGUUGUUUAGUCAUGGUUUGUAUUCAUGAAAAUACCUUUUAAAUCUAGCUUCAAAAUUCUUAUGUGCAGUGAAAUUGUAUCUAGCACUUUGUAAAGAACAAAUGAAAC